GGUUAAGUCAGGCAACGAGCGAGACCCACGCCAACAGUUGCCAGCAUGUCCUCCGGGAUGGUGGGGACACUGUUGGGACCGCCUCUGCUAAAGAGGAGGAAGGAAUGGGCAACGGUAGGUCAGCAUGCCCCGAAUUAUCCGGGCUACACGCGGGCUACAAUGGGCAGGACAAUGGGUUUCGACACCGAAAGGUGAAGGCAAUCUCUUAAGCCUGCUCGUAGUUCGGAUUGCGGGUUGCAACUCGCCCGCAUGAAGCUGGAAUCUGUAGUAAUCGCGUCUCAAAAUGGCGCGGUGAAUAUGUCCCUGCUCCUUGCACA
rnacentral:rRNA from 1 species